rnacentral:rRNA from 1 species
UGUUGGUGGGGUGAUGGCCUACCAAGGCGACGACGGGUAGCCGGCCUGAGAGGGUGUCCGGCCACACUGGGACUGAGAUACGGCCCAGACUCCUACGGGAGGCAGCAGUGGGGAAUAUUGCACAAUGGGCGCAAGCCUGAUGCAGCGACGCCGCGUGGGGGAUGACGGCCUUCGGGUUGUAAACCUCUUUCAGUACCGACGAAGCGUAAGUGACGGUAGGUACAGAAGAAGCACCGGCCAACUACGUGCCAGCAGCCGCGGUAAUACGUAGGGUGCGAGCGUUGUCCGGAAUUACUGGGCGUAAAGAGCUCGUAGGUGGUUUGUCGCGUUGUUCGUGAAAACCUGAGGCUUAACCUUGGGCGUGCGGGCGAUACGGGCAGACUGGAGUACUGCAGGGGAGACUGGAAUUCCUGGUGUAGCGGUGGAAUGCGCAGAUAUCAGGAGGAACACCGGUGGCGAAGGCGGGUCUCUGGGCAGUAACUGACGCUGAGGAGCGAAAGCGUGGGGAGCGAACAGGAUUAGAUACCCUGGUAGUCCACGCCGUAAACGGUGGGUACUAGGUGUGGGUUUCCUUCCUUGGGAUCCGUGCCGUAGCUAACGCAUUAAGUACCCCGCCUGGGGAGU